GCGGUGUCGUACUCAGAAGGGGCCAGGUUACUUAGACUGGGUGUGACCUAAGCCCUUCUGAGUAUAGCAACGCU
rfam:Pteropus alecto contig4947, whole genome shotgun sequence.